AACCGGAUUAGAUACCCUGGUAGUCCACGCCCUAAACGAUGUCUACUAGUUGUCGGGUUUUAAUUAACUUGGUAACGCAGCUAACGCGUGAAGUAGACCGCCUGGGGAGUACGGUCGCAAGAUUAAAACUCAAAGGAAUUGACGGGGACCCGCACAAGCGGUGGAUGAUGUGGAUUAAUUCGAUGCAACGCGAAAAACCUUACCUACCCUUGACAUGUACGGAAGGCCGAAGAGAUUUGGCUGUGCUCGAAAGAGAGCCGUAACACAGGUGCUGCAUGGCUGUCGUCAGCUCGUGUCGUGAGAUGUUGGGUUAAGUCCCGCAACGAGCGCAACCCUUGUCAUUAGUUGCUACAUUCAGUUGAGCACUCUAAUGAGACUGCCGGUGACAAACCGGAGGAAGGUGGGGAUGACGUCAAGUCCUCAUGGCCCUUAUGGGUAGGGCUUCACACGUCAUACAAUGGUACAUACAGAGGGCCGCCAACCCGCGAGGGGGAGCUAAUCCCAGAAAGUGUAUCGUAGU
rnacentral:rRNA from 1 species